GGAAAAAAAAAAAAAUUGGGAAAGGAAGGAAGCAAAUAGUUUUUUGCAACGCUAUAUGUUCCGAAGACGUCGUAGACCGUGCGAUUGAUUCUCAGAUUGGGUGAAGGAAAAGGACUAUCCUCCUCAAUCAGGGUCCUGCUGUUGGCUUGGCAAUUUAAAUCUGAGUACACCUUCUUGUGGGAGUGUUAAGUUCCUGAGUUGUAUGAGAUUUUGUUGCUCUCUAAUGAACCAGGCCAGAGGGUAAAAGUUUGAUCUAAAUUUAACCCCCGAAAAAAAGAGUGGUGCUUGAUGAUUGUUGGUAACUUAGUAUGAACAAGUUGGGUCUGGAUGGUGUUACAAAAUAUCCAGUUUAGUCACUUUGGUUGGGUGUUCUCGCCAUGUUAGAAGGGGAAUUUCGAUGCCCGGAAUAGUGAAAACCAGUUCACUGUUGUAAAUCUUGCAUCCCUAAAUUGAGAAGAUUUGGUGAGAUGAAUUUUGCAAGUUGUGAUAUAACUACCCCUCUGAGCUGUUUGAAGAACCUUCAUGUCGAAAGUCAAUAUGAUGAUACGAACAAGAGCUUAUUGGCAGAUAUGUUCCCACCCACCCCAUCGAAGAAGGGAAAGGCUAGGGCUAUACCGGCAAUUGUGGCUGCUCCAUCAAGUUUCUUCUGAAGAAUCCACGACAAAUGCAGUGAACUAAUAAGUGGGUUGCCUUCAAAGUCGAUUUGCAAAGCUUUUGGCAAACUCUACAGAUCCACUUUCUUGCAACAAUCAAAGGCAUGAUGAUCAACAAGAAGAAAACAAGCUGCUCAUUAGGAAACCUUGGAAGAAAGAUGGAGAACAACGAGAAUGAAGAAAGAGAUCCACUGAGAAGAGCAAAAUGGCCGGAGAUUCGAUAGUAGACUGUAGAGCAAUUACAGCGUGAUUUCAUGUUAGCUGCAAAUGCAAAG